AGCGCCCCUCAGUGCACAGUCCCAGCGGCCUCGCUGGGCCGGCGCCUCCCGACCAAGUCUCUACGGUCGCCCUCCCCUCGGGGUGGCCACGAGGGACUCCUCCUCCUCUUCCUCCUCCCCUCCCUCCCCCUCGGUCUCCGCCUCCUCCUUCUCCUCCUCCUUCACUGCCCCGACCUCCCGCCCCAGGUUCCACGCGCUCUGAUGCCCGCCCCGCUCACCCAGAGAAGCCCUGGGCCAGACGUCCACAACCCAAGGGGUUAUGGGGAGGCCUCUGCUCCCUGGACACAGUAGUUCUCAAACUGGACAGUGUCAAUCAGCAUCCUCCGGGAGGUCUGGGGUGGCCCCGGAAAUACAUGUGUCCCACCUAUCCCAGCAGGUAAUGAUGAAACUCCUGCUCUGGUCCGGGCUACCGGUGAACAGCGCCCAGCGGGCCGGGCCCCCAACCUCGCUCCUGAGCCUGAACAUCCCCCCAACCCCACCGUGAGAAUUCAGCGAAGAGUAAAAGCUGGAAAAAGUUGCGUGUCUUAGGCUAAGCAGAACAAAGUGGGGUGACGGCUCCCCGGCUAGGAACAGAGAUGCCCUUAGGGAGCCCUCUGAUGGAAGAGCUCUCCGCUUAAGAAGGUCACCACUCCCUUACACUCAGGAGAUGUUGCUGAGAUGGGUGCAUUAAAGUUUAGGCUUUCCAGAGUUUAUAUUGCUAACAACUUGAAAGGAAAAAAGCUAACUAGAGAACUGACUGGUCUUAUUUGUUUUAGAUUCUGGGCUUUACUAAGACUUCCUACUCUCAGAAUCUCUGGACUAUAAACGCUGGGUGGGGUGGGAGCUGGGAAUGUUAUUCUGGAAAAUUAAUCACAAAUGAAAAGAAAAUCAACUCUAAGACUCCAGUUAGAAGAUUUUUGAAAAUGGCAGAACAUGACUGGCCUUCAUUCAAGUCAGAAUAUUUAAAGCAAUCCUUGCUAAGAAGAACUUGAUUUUGUAUAAGCAGUCCCUUAAAUACAGUUGCUUCUCAAGAAAACCACACACAAUUGAUGUUUGAAUGGCUUUAUUUACAAACAUCUCACUCCGUAAGCCUCUGCAGGUAUUUCUAGCCUCCCAGGGGCCACUGUCCCGUUUCACCUGUAAUUUGGAUCACAAUUCUGUUUGUUGUCACACACAUCAUAUGAACUGCUUUUCAUGCUGCUUUUAUCCACAAAGCUUUACAAGCUUUAAUGGCAGCUCUAUGUAUGACAACUUUAUAAAGAUCUGCCAAAAGGU
rnacentral:lncRNA from 1 species